GAUGAACGCUGGCGGCGUGCUUAACACAUGCAAGUCGAGCGAAGCAUUUUAAAGGAAGUUUUCGGAUGGAAUUUAAAAUGACUGAGUGGCGGACGGGUGAGUAACGCGUGGGUAACCUGCCUCAUACAGGGGGAUAACAGUUAGAAAUGACUGCUAAUACCGCACAAGACCACAGCACCGCAUGGUGCAGGGGUAAAAACUCCGGUGGUAUGAGAUGGACCCGCGUCUGAUUAGGUAGUUGGUGGGGUAACGGCCUACCAAGCCGACGAUCAGUAGCCGACCUGAGAGGGUGACCGGCCACAUUGGGACUGAGACACGGCCCAAACUCCUACGGGAGGCAGCAGUGGGGAAUAUUGCACAAUGGGGGAAACCCUGAUGCAGCGACGCCGCGUGAGCGAUGAAGUAUUUCGGUAUGUAAAGCUCUAUCAGCAGGGAAGAAAAUGACGGUACCUGACUAAGAAGCACCGGCUAAAUACGUGCCAGCAGCCGCCGUAA
rnacentral:rRNA from 1 species